UAUAGAAUCUAGAACGUACCUGCUAUCUGUACCAUUGAGACGUUAAGAAUCUACACCUAGCUCGUUUAGGUUAAUGACUGUUGUGCAGACGAAAUUUUGUACACUAUGUAUGUAAUGCAGUAUACUGUGUUCUAAAUUUAACUUGCUAAAACUUAAGAUACGGUUGCUAUUACGAUGAAGUUUUAGACUGUUAUAUGACUUGAUUAUUGAUCUUACGUCACAGAAUCGCAGAAUUUCCAAGAAUUUCGUGUGUAAUGAGACACGUGCUGUAAACAGUGAUCGAACAUAAUCCUCCAGUCGUAUCUUUGUAAAACAUGGGACUCACAGAUGUAGCUUUUACCAUAAAAUUAGCUUUUUAUUUUAUAUUAUUUGGAUUUAUUCUCCAUACAAUUGGAUUUGGAGCACCCUACUGGGCUACUGGAUAUAACAGUCAUGCUGGACUAUGGCAAUAUUGCUCUAGAUCUACAGGCAUAUGUGUUACCAUAGAUAUGUCAUUAAUGGACCGUGAACAGGUUGACAAAUUCUUAGCAGUAAAAGUCCUGGAAUGUUUUGGAUUUACUGGAUCUGUAGCCUGUUUGAUAUCUAUUUGUAUUUUUAUCUUUGGUGGAAGAUGUUCUGAAAGUAAAUUCAUCACCGUGUUUAAUAUAUUUUUAUUCUUGGCAACUGGCACUGUAAUCAUGAUUGCUACUAUAAUGUUCGCUACCAUGAUUAGUGAUUUGGAUUGGGCAUUUGGUCUGGCCACUGUUGGAGGCGUUUGUUUCAUUCUUGCCGGAAUCUGUCAGAUCGUUUACCUUUGCCAAUACGAAUAGCAUGUUGGUAUAUUUCUUGCUGUUUGGCGGAAUUAAAUGCACGACUCCAAUAUAUACUCAUAUGGAAGACAUAAGAAAUAUGCUACGGGGAUUACCAAGCAUCAUGAGUCGGAGACCAACAAAGGACAAAAUACGAAAAGAAAAAAGUCAACAAAACUCUACGCAACCCUCUAUCCUUAAAGCAAGCCAGCGAUCAUCAUGCAGACCGUCACUGAGACGUUAGUUCUAGAAAAGAGAAACGAACACGUUACCUAGUAUAUAUAUAUAUAUAUAUAUAUCUAAGACUGAGUGCUUACAUUCACUUUAUUUGGAACUCUGGUGGACAGUUGUCUUAUUGGUUAUCAAUCCACAUCUCCUUAUUUUUUAUAUACGAACUCAACCAAAUCAAAUAUAUAGUACUUUAUCAUUUUAAGGAUUUCAGUUUUCAUAUAUGUUAUGUAUAAAAUGGAAAAUUAACAUUGCUUAUACAGGGGCGGAUCCAGCAAUUUUCAAAAGGGGGGUUCCCAACCCUGGAUAAAGGGGGGGGGG